rnacentral:rRNA from 1 species
UGCCAGACUCCUACGGGAGGCAGCAGUUAGGAAUAUUCGGCAAUGGGGGAAACCCUGACCGAGCAAUGCCGCGUGUGAGAUGACGGCCCUAUGGGUUGUAAAUCACUUUUAUUUGGGAAGAAUUGUAAGCAUAGGAAAUGAUGUUUACUUGACGGUACCUUUUGAAUAAGCCCCGGCUAACUACGUGCCAGCAGCCGCGGUAAUACGUAGGGGGCGAGCGUUAUCCGGAUUUAUUGGGCGUAAAGCGUGCGUAGGCGGCUUGUUAAGUCCAGAAUUAAAGCCCGAGGCUUAACCUCGGUUCGUUCUGGAUACUGGCAAGCUUGAGUAUGGUAGAGGCAAAUGGAAUUCCUAGUGUAGCGGUGAAAUGCGUAGAUAUUAGGAGGAACACCAGUGGCGAAGGCGAUUAACUGGACCGUAACUGACGCUGAGGCACGAAAGUGUGGGUAGCAAACAGGAUUAGAUACCCGCGUAAU